CAGCAGCCACGGUAAUACGAAGGGUGCAAGCGUUAAUCGGAAUUACUGGGCGUAAAGCGUGCGUAGGCGGUUUGUUAAGUCUGUUGUGAAAUCCCCGGGCUCAACCUGGGGGCUGCAUUUGAGACGUGGCGACUAGAGUGUGAGAGAGGGUUGUGGAAUUCCCAGUGUAGAGGUGAAAUUCGUAGAGAUGUGGAGGAAUACCGAUGGCGAAGGCAGCCCCCUGGGCCAAUACUGACGCUCAUGCACGAAAGCGUGGGGAGCAAACAGGAUUAGAUACCCGGGUAGUCCCUGUCUCUUAUAC
rnacentral:rRNA from 1 species